ensembl:misc_RNA Metazoa_SRP Metazoan signal recognition particle RNA
GCUGGGUGUGGUGGCGUGUGCCUGUAGUCCCAGCUACUCAGGAAGCUGAGUUGGGAGGAUUGCUUGAACCCAGGAGGUUGAGGCUGCAGUGAGGUGUGAUUGCACCACUGCACUUCAGCCUGGGCAACAGAGUGAGAUCCUGUCUCAA